rnacentral:rRNA from 1 species
UACGUAGGGUGCAAGCGUUGUCCGGAUUUAUUGGGCGUAAAGAGCUCGUAGGCGGUUUGUCGCGUCGGAUGUGAAAACCCAGGGCUCAACCCUGGGCCUGCAUUCGAUACGGGCAGACUAGAGUAUGGCAGGGGAGACUGGAAUUCCCGGUGUAGCGGUGAAAUGCGCAGAUAUCGGGAAGAACACCCGUGGCGAAGGCGGCACUCUGGGACGGUACUGACGCUGAGACGCGAAAGCGUGGGGAGCGAACAGG